rnacentral:rRNA from 1 species
CCUACGGGAGGCAGCAGUAGGGAAUCUUUCACAAUGGGCGAAAGCCUGAUGGAGCAACGCCGCGUGCAGGAUGAAGGCCCUCGGGUUGUAAACUGCUUUUAUAAGCGGGAAAUAUGAUGGUAACUUAUGAAUAAGGAUCGGCUAACUACGUGCCAGCAGCCGCGGUCAUACGUAGGAUCCGAGCAUUAUCCGGAGUGACUGGGUGUAAAGAGUUGCGUAGGUGGCAUAAUAAGUAGCUAGUGAAAUCUGGUGGCUCAACCAUUCAGACUAUUAGCUAAACUGUUAAGCUCGAGACCGUUAGGGGUAACUGGAAUGUGUGGUGUAGGAGUGAAAUCCGUAGAUAUUAGAAGGAACACCGAUAGCGAAGGCAGGUUGCUGGGACGGUUCUGACACUAAGGCACGAAAGCGUAGGGAGCAAACGGGAUUAGAUACCCUUGUAGUC